rnacentral:rRNA from 1 species
CUCAGGAUGAACGCUAGCUACAGGCUUAACACAUGCAAGUCGAGGGGAAACGACAUCGAAAGCUUGCUUUUGAUGGGCGUCGACCGGCGCACGGGUGAGUAACGCGUAUCCAACCUGCCCACCACUUGGGGAUAACCUUGCGAAAGUAAGACUAAUACCCAAUGAUAUCUCUAGAAGACAUCUGAAAGAGAUUAAAGAUUUAUCGGUGAUGGAUGGGGAUGCGUCUGAUUAGCUUGUUGGCGGGGUAACGGCCCACCAAGGCGACGAUCAGUAGGGGUUCUGAGAGGAAGGUCCCCCACAUUGGAACUGAGACACGGUCCAAACUCCUACGGGAGGCAGCAGUGAGGAAUAUUGGUCAAUGGACGAGAGUCUGAACCAGCCAAGUAGCGUGCAGGAUGACGGCCCUAUGGGUUGUAAACUGCUUUUAUAAGGGAAUAAAGUGAGUCUCGUGAGACUUUUUGCAUGUACCUUAUGAAUAAGGACCGGCUAAUUCCGUGCCAGCAGCCGCGGUAAUACGGAAGGUCCGGGCGUUAUCCGGAUUUAUUGGGUUUAAAGGGAGCGUAGGCCGGAGAUUAAGCGUGUUGUGAAAUGUAGACGCUCAACGUCUGCACUGCAGCGCGAACUGGUUUCCUUGAGUACGCACAAAGUGGGCGGAAUUCGUGGUGUAGCGGUGAAAUGCUUAGAUAUCACGAAGAACUCCGAUUGCGAAGGCAGCUCACUGGAGCGCAACUGACGCUGAAGCUCGAAAGUGCGGGUAUCGAACAGGAUUAGAUACCCUGGUAGUCCGCACGGUAAACGAUGGAUGCCCGCUGUUGGUCUGAAUAGGUCAGCGGCCAAGCGAAAGCAUUAAGCAUCCCACCUGGGGAGUACGCCGGCAA